UACGUAGGGGGCAAGCGUUGUCCGGAAUUAUUGGGCGUAAAGCGCACGCAAGCGGUUCGACAAGUCUGACGUGAAAUCUCCUGGCUUAACUGGGAGCGGUCGUUGGAAACUGUCGAGCUUGAGGCGAUGAGAGGGGUGCAGAAUUCCCGGUGUAGUGGUGGAAUGCGUAGAGAUCGGGGGGAAUACCUGUGGCGAAAGCGGCACCCUGGCUUCGUUCUGACGCUCAUGUGCGAAAGCGUGGGGAGCGAACGGG
rnacentral:rRNA from 1 species